AUUGAACGCUGGCGGCAUGCCUUACACAUGCAAGUCGAACGGCAGCACGGGAGCAAUCCUGGUGGCGAGUGGCGAACGGGUGAGUAAAGUAUCGGAACGUGCCCAGUCGUGGGGGUUAACGUAGCGAAAGUUACGCUAAUACCGCAUACGAUCUAUGGAUGAAAGCGGGGGAUCGCAAGACCUCGCGCGAUUGGAGCGGCCGAUAUCAGAUUAGGUAGUUGGUGGGGUAAAGGCUCACCAAGCCGACGAUCUGUAGCUGGUCUGAGAGGACGACCAGCCACAGUGGGACUGAGACACGGCCCAGACUCCUACGGGAGGCAGCAGUGGGGAAUUUUGGACAAUGGGCGAAAGCCUGAUCCAGCCAUGCCGCGUGCAGGAUGAAGGCCUUCGGGUUGUAAACUGCUUUUGUACGGAACGAAAAGGUUUGGGCUAAUAAGCUGAGCUCAUGACGGUACCGUAAGAAUAAGCACCGGCUAACUACGUGCCAGCCGCCGCAGUAA
rnacentral:rRNA from 1 species